rnacentral:tRNA from 10 species
UAGAAAAUUGUUCCAGUUACUUUCACUGUGUAACAUAUUAGCCCAAGACUAACUGGCAUAAAGCAAUUAUUUUAUUAUUCUCCUAGACUUGGUGGGUUAGGAAUUUGGAGAGGGCACAGAAGAGACAGAGAAGAGAUGACUUUUUUCUGUUUCAUGAUGUCUGGGACCCCAACUGGGAAGACACAAUGAGCAGAACUGCUGAGUGGAGUGUGUGCACAUGACUCCCCACAGAGCCAGGCUUCCUCACAGCAUGGCAGCCUCAGGCUCCAAAUGCGUGUAUCCCAGCAAAUAAGGCGAAAGCCACAUCACUUCUUAUGACUCAGCCUCAUAAAACACUAGGAUCACUUUUGCAAUACUCUAUUGCGUGAAGCAGCCUCAAGCCCACCCAGGUGCAAGGGGAAGGGGCAUAGAAUCUAACUUUCAAUGGGGUGACUGUAAAAUAAGUUUGUGGCCAUUUAAAAAACUGCUAUGAAAAGACAGUGCCUUAGUAAUUUGGGGAAUCGGGAAGUCUUCACUGAAGAGGUGAUGUUUGGGAUGCAUCUUGAAAGAGGGACAAAAGUUUGCCAGGAGAAGUGGGGUGAAAAGAGAAAUGAUUCUUCAUAGGGAAUGGCACCUUUUAGGCUUACAUGUACACAGGAAAUACUGAAAUACAAGAAGGAGUACAAGGGGAUAACUAGGAAGUGGAUCAAGCAUCAAAGGAAAACCAGUCUCAUAGCUCCCAGACACCUUGAAUACAUCAGCAUGUUUGAACUGCUAACUCAACUCAAUAAUUGUCCAUUGAUUCUUAAGCCAUAUAUAGGGUUUGGGAAAGAACCAAACCAUAGUUAUUUAUUUGGAAAAGAACUGUGGAGCAGAUAGGUUAAAGUUGGAAUUUAAAGUGGAAGGACUACUUUCUCUUUAACAAACACAUAAUACCUAUUCUUCAGGUAUCAUACUAAGGACAUGACAAUUUCAACUCACUUAAUCCUCAUCACAGCCCUAAAAGGUAGCUAUUGUUAUUCUCUCUCAAUUACGGAUUAAAAACUUGAAUCCCAAAGAGGUUAAGUAACUUGCCCAAGGGCACGCAGUGGAUCAGUGGCACACCCAGGAUUCAAAUGCAGGUUGUCAGGCUCAGCCUGCGCACCUCGCCACUGUGCCAGGUCACCCUCAGACAACUAGAGAGAACAGUGGCUGAAAUUAAAGGCAACAUGGGGAGCUUGACUUUGAUCCGUAUGACAAUUGAGAGCCAUUUAGGGCGUCUGAAAUGGCAGUACGUGUAAUGUAAAUUGUGUUAACCUAACUAGUUAUUGGCUGAGCCAGACAGGAAAACAAGUCUCUAGCUUUUUAGUUCAACAUUCUUCACUAUUCUAUAACGCUGUGCUUGGAGAUAGUAUUUUAUGGUUCAGUGCCACUACUGAGACUCUUCUUAAAUGAUGAAUUAAGAGGCUGGACUCUUGAAGAAGCAAGCAAGGGAGGUAACUCACGCUCUGCCAUUUUAUCUGCAGGGUACUUCCGAGGUGAGGCCAAAUUAGUUGACUUAUCCACGUAGUUGUUUUAAGGCUAAUCUAGGACAAUGCAAAACAUACCUCUGUAGUUUGACUCUCAGUGAUGAAGCACAGUAUGUAAUUAGAAGCAGUUUCAUUUGUCCAUCCAUUCAGUACUGUUUUUUUUACUGCCAUGGGCUGUGACUGACCUAAUAUUUUGCUGCAUGGUAUAGUGCCUUUUAUAUAUACAUGCUGACGUCAGGCAGGACAGCAUUAAUGGAGGCAAUAUGUCUAAAUGAAAACACCAUUACAUUAUCAAAGUGAAAAAUGGCUAGAUCAGCAAAUGGAGUAUUAGGGAUGGAAGCUGAGAAAAAGAAUAUUAACCUUGCAUUCAAUUUUAGUCUCAUAUCUGUGACUUCCUUGUGUAGUUAUUAUAGAACCUUAAGAUACAUGAUGGUUGAAGGACAGUUGGGGGCACACUAUAAUAGCUACCUCAUAAAAAUGGUAGGAGCAAUUGGCAGCUUAAUUUUG